rnacentral:pre_miRNA from 1 species
UCACCUCCACAGGCUGCGGGCCCCCAGGCUGGGCUGGGCGAGUAUCUCUUUGAAGGGCUCAGCCUCAAGCAUGACUAGGAGC